CCCACCGAAGUCCUAACCUCCUGUAGCUCCUAUGCACUAGCUGUUCACUUGGCUGUCGCAAUGCUUUCAACUCAUCUUCACACAGCAGAGGAAACUGGUCCCCAGAAGUUGUCACUUGCUGGAAGAUGCCAAAUGAAUGAGAACAUAUCAGCCUCACUUUCCACAUGAGCCGACUGAGGCUUAGAGCAAAAUUCAGUUACCCAAGAGAAGAAUGUAAGAUCGGGGGUUUCUGCUUUCCAAAUAAUGUUCCUAGAGAAGCACAGGACUGA